CGGGCGGCCGUGACCCUUCUGGAGUGCGGAGGGAACCUCCAGCCCCCUGGGGGCUCCCUGCGCCUCCUCUGCCGAGGGUCUGGGUUCAGUUUCGGGGAUUAUGGAAUGUACUGGAUCCGCCAGAUACCCGGGCAGGCUUUGCAAUACGUAGCAGGCAUCUACUUCAACAGUGCCAACACCUACUACGCGCCAUCGUUCAAGGGUCAGUUCACGAUCUCCAGGGACAACGGGCAGAGCUCGGUGACGCUGACCAUGAACAACCUCAAGGACGAGGAUUCCGCCAUUUAUUUCUGCGCUAAGUGUGCUGCUAAUAAUUACCCUGAACAUGCUGCUUGUAGUGACGAUGCCCAUGGUGUCCCCACCCCCAUCCCUGUGUCCCCCCCGUCGAGCAUGGGCAGUGUUGUGAAGCUCGGCCCGUUGUCCCUGGAGAUCCUGACCCUGCCCUUGACCGACGGGGCGUAG